GCCCCUGCUACUGAAUCGUGUUCCUUUAACAUAGGAGAAGAAGAAAUUGAUAGUAAUUUUUGGCCAAAGACUUUAAACCUACUUUGCAUUAAAUUCUGGAAAUUUUCUUGUGGCCGUAAAUAGUAUAAUCCUCAGAAAAUUCUCAAUAAUUUUUGGGAAUGAUUACAGGUUUUAAAUCAAAUUUUCAUGGAUCAACUUGUUAGCUCCCAUCCUGACAAGCCAUGAGAGCUGUCGGUAUCCUGUUGCACCUACCGCCCGUAAACUUUCACAUUUCCAGUUUGUUUACCAAAUUCAUACGUGACAGGAUUAUUAUGCUAGUAACCGGUGUUUAAGUUAAAAAAAAAAUCCACAAUACUAUAUUAAUUGUGUGCGUCAAUUUGUUUAGACAAAACAAAACUGCAAAAACUUCGAAUACAAAAGAGUAUCUUUUUUUAAAUGUCAUUAUUUUAAUGAUGUCACCCAAACGACGUCACCCGAUCGGCAAUGUCGUGUGACAUAUUGCUUUUCAUCUGUUUCUUUUAUCCUAUUCUUAUUAUUAUUUUUCUUCAACCUACUUUUGUCCGGCAGUUUUCUCAGAGUCAAUGGAACCAAUCUUAAUGAUACUUUACUGUAACAAAGACCACUGACUUUAGAGUUCCAGUCCACCUUUUGAACUAUAAAAUGGGUGCCUUUACCAUGGAAACAGCAAAAAUGUGGAAAAAAUCAAAAUAGCAAAUCCAUUCAAUCUUUCAUUAAAAGACCCAACCUGAUGAAACUUUAUGGGAAUGUUGCCUUACAUGCCAAGAUGUGUUGACCAUAUUUAUCAAUUACAAAAUGGCUGCCAUUACCAUGGAAACUUGAUAUUCAUUUACCAUUAGACCCUAUGGUAAAUUCUAAAAAAGUUGCAUUUACUCAAUUAUAAUGGUAGGUCAAAUCCAUUGAAACUUUUAUGGCAUAUUCUGUAACAUGAACCAAUGUUGCAUCUGUGAUUUAAAAAAUUGGAAUUGUCU
rnacentral:lncRNA from 1 species